CGGCGGGGGCAGGGCGGCGCGCUGACAGACAGCUGGGCUUUCCUGUGUAAACAGGAGCCGGGCAGGAGCUGAGAGUCCGGGUCCGUUCCGGCCGGCAGGAGCCGCGCAGCCCCCCGCAGGAGCAGCCCGCCGCCCGCCUCGGCCAUGGGUAGCAGCCGGCCUGGGCCCAGUGCGGAGCAGCGAGGUGUAACGCCCAGCAAUGGCACUAAAUGAGUCCUGCAUCAAAGACUCCUUCCUUUAAAUGAGAGGACCAAACAGGACGGUGUGAUGAACAUGCCACUGCAUCAGAUCUCUGUAAUUCCAGCUCGGGAUGUCACCUCUUCCAGAGUCUCUAGGAGCAAGACCAAAGAAAAAGAGAGAGAGGAACAGCUGAAGUGGACUGUUGUACACCUAUUUGCACCCGUACUUCAAAAUGUCGCUACUAUAGAUGAAGUUCCCCAGAAUGAGAAGGCUUUGGGACAUUCCAUGAGCCGUUCCAGUAACAUCUCAAAGGCUGGCAGUCCAACCUCCAUUUCGGCUCCUCAUAGCUUCUCUCGGACUUCUGUUACACCAUCCAAUCAGGACAUCUGCAGUUCCAGUGCAGUGUUUUCUGAAUGUUGUCAUCACAGUCCAGUGCAGUCUGCUGUUGUCUUGAAAAAUCCUCACUGCCAGAAUUCUCUGACACAAGGGGUCACAGUGACAAUACUCUGUCAGGACACAUUACAGGCAUCAAAGAGAAACUCCCAUGGGCAGGAUUGGGUCCAUGUGCUCGAGUCUGCUAAAAAUGCAAAAGCCACCCGAGCUCUUAAAUUCUCCAAGUCCCUCAACGACAUGGACCAGAAGUCACAGAGCACCAUGGAGGGCUCUAAGUAUGGGGAGCGAACAUGCUCUGAAAGCAAACUGACCCCGCCACAGGAGCAGUGUUUAAGGAUUAACAGAUUUAAUCAGAAAGAGAAGAAAUCGCUCAAUCUCAGGCCUUCUUUUAGCAAUUCUAAGCACUCCUACAUGCCAUCUCUUUCCACCACCUACGUGAGCGCUUCGGGAGUAGCCAAGAACCACUGUGCGGUGCAUAUACCUCUCCUGGAGGACAAGGUGGACAAUGAGACAUCAUCAAGAAGCAAAAAUCUGCUGCACUACCUCUUCUCCUUCUCCCACAGCUCAAGUGCCAGCAGCCUGCAUAAGUUCCAUGAACUAGAGAGCUAUCCGAGCCACUUCCAAACUGCAAAGUCCUCCAGCAUGCUGGUGGAAAGCCCUGGCUUCUGCUCUGAUGACAUGGGGGACGACGACGUAUUUGAGGACAGUGCCUCCGUGAGGUUGAAAGGAAAAGAGCUGCGGGCACCACUCUGUUCAGUUGAGAAAGACAGUGACCUAGACUGCCCUUCUCCCCUGUCAGAAAAAUUCCCCCCUCUUUCCCCUCUGUCCACGUCGGGGGAUGCCUGCAGGAUAUGUCACUGUGAAGGAGAUGACGAGAGCCCCUUGAUUACCCCCUGUCACUGCACAGGAAGUCUUCAUUUUGUGCACCAAGCUUGCCUGCAGCAGUGGAUCAAGAGCUCAGACACCCGAUGUUGUGAACUCUGCAAGUAUGAGUUCAUCAUGGAGACCAAAUUAAAGCCCCUACGAAAGUGGGAGAAGUUGCAGAUGACGGCCAGUGAGAGGAGGAAGAUCAUGUGCUCUGUAACAUUCCAUAUCAUUGCCAUCACCUGCGUCGUGUGGUCUCUGUAUGUCCUUAUAGACAGGACUGCUGAAGAGAUUAAACAGGGACAGACUACUGCAUGGAGAAAGGUGUCUGGAAAUGGGAAGCUGCCACCUGGCCCUGUUGCUUUUCCCAUCAUAGGGAACACGCUGCAGCUGAAUAUGAGGAACUUGCCCCAGUCUAUACAUGAGCUCAGUGCAAAGUAUGGCCCGGUUUUCACAAUAUGCUUAGGCUCACAGCGGGUUGUGGUGCUGUAUGGACAGGAGGCUGUGAAGGAAGCUCUGAUUGAUCAAGGGGAUGAGUUCAGUGGAAGAGGAAAACUAGCACUGGUUGACAAGCUUGCCAAAGGAGCAGGCAUUAUAUUCAGCAAUGGGGAACGGUGGAAGCAGCUUCGCCGAUUUGCCCUCACCACGCUCAGAAAUUUUGGGAUGGGGAAGAAAAGCAUUGAGGAACGGAUCCAGGAGGAAGCCUGUUUUCUGGUGGAAAGGCUCAAAAAAACAUACGAGCGACCCUUUGACCCAACCAUCCCUCUCACCCAUGCUGUCUCCAACAUCAUCUGCUCCAUUGUCUUUGGGAACCGGUUUGACUAUGAAGAUCAGAAGUUUCUGGCAUUCAUUAAUCUCACAGAGGAAAACAAUGAACUCUUCCGCUCUUUCCUGGGACAGCUGUACAAUUUUUUCCCAACUCUCAUGGAUUAUAUACCUGGGCCACACCAGCAGUUAGUUAAAAAUUCGGAGGAGUUUAAAAGAUUUGUUCUGGAGAGAGUGAAGAUGCACGAAGAGUCUCUGGAUCUCAGCUGCCCUCGAGACUUCAUUGAUGCUUUCCUCAUCAAAAUGGAACAGGAACGACAGAAUGGCCAGUCAGAAUUUAACACUGAUAACUUGUUAGGAAGCACAAUGGAUUUAUUCUUUGCUGGAACAGGGACAUCGAGCCUCACCCUGAGACAUGGACUCCUGAUUCUUCUGAAAUACCCAGAAAUAGAAGCAAAAGUUCAUGAAGAGAUUGACCGUGUGAUUGGCCGGAGCCGAAGCCCCUGCAUGGCGGACCGAAGCCAGAUGCCCUACACAGAUGCUGUGAUACAUGAGAUGCAGAGAUUCAUUAACCUUGCCCCGAUGGGUGUCCCACAUGCAGUGACCAGAGACACUCAUUUCAGACAAUAUGUUAUCCCCAAGGGCACCACUGUAAUCCCUGUCCUGCAAUCGGUCCUAUAUGACAGCAGGGAAUUUCCAAACCCAGAGCAAUUUAACCCGGGACAUUUCUUGGAUGAAAAUGGUGCCUUUAAGAAGAGUGACUUCUUCAUGCCUUUUUCUGCAGGGAAACGGAUUUGCAUGGGAGAGGGUCUGGCUCGGAUGGAGAUAUUUUUGUUACUGACAACGAUUUUGCAGAAUUUUACCUUGAAAUCUCUCGUUGAACCCAAGGACGUUGAUAUAACUCCAGUGACGAAUUUUGGGUCAAAUGCACCAAAACCAUACCAGCUCUGUGUUUUGCCUCGAUAAAGACCAUGAAAAGCCACCUCAAUGACCUUGAAUGAAUUUGGUUGUCUAUGGUCCUGGAUUCAUUAAUACAGAAAUGAACUCAUUGUGCUGUAACAGAGACAGAUAAAUAACCCAGCUUUCUGCAUGUGUUUCAAUGAUCACAGGAUCUUCUCCUUCCCAGAGGCUAGUGAAGAUUAGAAAGGAAAAAAAACCACACUCGUGAUAAAAUGUUCUCUGAGCUCAUGCUGUCCUCCCACACUGACAGAGCACAGAUGAAUGCGUGGAGGCAAAUAAUGUCAGAGUGCAGGAAAGCACAGAAUGACCGGGAGGAGAGGUGGCGGGCUGAAGAGAGUAAGUGGCAGGCUGAAGCUCAAAUGUGGCGGCAGCGUGAUGAGAGGAGACAGGAUUCAAUGCUGAGGCUGCUGGAAGAUCAAACCAGUAUGCUCCAGUGUAUGGUUGAGCUGCAGCAAAGGCAGCUGGAGCACAGACUGCUGCUACAGCCCCUGUGUAACCAACCGCCCUCCUCCCCAAGUUCCAUAGCCUCCUCUCCCAGACGCCCAAGAACACAGUGGUGGGGCCUCUGGCCAACCAGCCACUCCACCACAGAGGAUUGCGCAAAAAACAGAAGGCUGGCAUUCAAUAAAUUUUAAAGUU